CCCCUUUAUCGCCUCUUCAAACACAAAUCACCAACUCUGGAUUUACUUUCACCGCCGAUAAAUAAUCUCCACCACCAAUAUCUUCCACUGUGAUUCUCAUCAGAAAACAGAGGCGAUGGUCAUUAAAGAAGCUUACGCAGAGAUGAUUUUGAAUGCAACGAAAUACAGCGGAAGAGGCAGCUGCUCGAGCAAUGACGUUGGAGCGUAAAGUUGUUCGAGUUCAACACGACUGUGAAUUUGUGAGAUGAUAGAUGUCAAGGGGGGCAAAAUUGCUAUAAUUUGGGUGCUUUUUGUUUACGAAGCAGCGGAACUGUGUUCUCUCGCCGACAUUGAUCUCUGGUGACUAUAUUUUUCUGUGGGAAGUACAUGACUGAACCAACAUUAGCCGGUGUCAAUGAGAAUGACAAUGUGGCCCUAGAGUACAAGGAUAACAAUGUCAAGAAAGCAAAGGUCAAUUCAACACUAUCUGCACUCCUUGAUGAUCCUGUGCUUGCCAGAUGUACCAAAGAAGCCAACUCUAUCAGAUGUUGACACCCUCAUCAGCUUGGAACUCGGCAGUGCUAUGCAUGUUUCUGUACUUAAAAUCUUAAAUUACACAAUACAUCUUUUGGUAUAUCAAAUAUGAUUAUGCUUGAUUAGCUUCUUAUUUUCACCUUAUAACAUGUAUUUAAUGAUCGCUUGAUGAAUUCUGCAACAGUCAAGGAUUUGAAACUAGCUGUUGAGAAAAAGAGUCAAUGAGAUGGAUCAGUAAAAAAUGGGUCAUUGCCAUAUUUCUUGGUGUUUCUCUUUUUUUUUUUCAUAUGUGCUUGAAUUAUUCUUGAUUAAGCUUUUAGACAUUUCAAAU
rnacentral:lncRNA from 1 species